AUUUUCAGCAACAGAUGUCUCGGCUUUGAUGACCAUGAAGGGUGCAGCGAAGUGCAAUAAACAUUGUGAAUUGCAGGUUUCUGUGAACCAAUAGGAUUUUGAAUGUAUGCGAUGCUUCUGGGAUAUUAUUGCAAGCAAAUUUGCAUCAGGAUUCCUUGAUACACAUUGAUUAUUUACAUGCUGUGCCAUGUGAAACUUGUGCACAUCAAGUCCAGGACUUUUGAUGUGUUAAAACUUGCACGCAAAUUGAACAAGUGCAAUGCGAAGUCGCAUCUGUUAAAUUUGCCUAAGCUGCAGCUGUGUGUGACCCUGCAUUUCUAAAUGCUACUUUUGAAAAUAUGAUAUCAAGUAAGAACACCCACUGAAUUUAAGCAUAAAGGUAAGUGGAGGAUCAAAAACCAAAUAGGAGUUUGACAGGUAAUGGCGAGUGAACAUGAACAAGCUCAGCAUGGGAAUUGGGGCCAUCAGCCUUGAAUUGUUUCUUUGGAGAUGAGUGACUAACCACGGUGUGCAUGAACACUUCUUGAAAAAAGAAUUUCGAGGAAGGUGAAAGUCCUGUGUGUCAUGUGCAUGUUGUUGUGCACGGUGCUUUUCAUUGAGUCACGUUCCUUGGGAUUGGAGCGCAAAGCUGGUGGUAUAUUUCAUCUGCAGCUACAUAUGUAUACGAGACCGAUAGCAAACAAGUACCGUGCGGGAAAUAUGAAAAGGACUUUGAAAAGAGGGUUAAAAGUGUUUUGAAAUUGCUGGAUAUUAAGCGAAGGAAACCAGUGUGCUUGGCAAGAUUGCUGCAUAUUUGCAGAUAUGUGACAGUGUCAUGAUUUCCCUGUUGCUAUAUCAUGCAUGUUUGUGGUGUUUGUUGCCUUGCAUGUCAUCUUGUUCUGUGUAUAAGCAAAAUGUGAAUGGCAUGGUAUUUUGCACUGUGCAGGAGAAUGCUUUCCAUGGUGCAUAUUUACAUUGCAGUCGUCUAUGGUUGUAAAAUCCGACUUUCUCACACAUUAUUGUGUGCUGGAUGGUGGGUGUCUGUCAGUUGAUUGCGAUGGCAACACUGUUUCCUUUGACCCGUCUUGAAACACGGACCAAGGAGUCUAACAUAUGUGCAAGUUCGUGGGUGGGCAAACUUAUAGACAUAAUGAAGCAAGCGCUGGUAUCCUUGCACUAGCAUCUGACCAAUUGACAGUAAAAGGUUUGAGUUAGAACAUAUGUGUUAGGACCCGAAAGAUGGUGAACUAUGCUUGAGAAAAGUGAAUUCAGGGGAAACUCUGAUGGAGGCUUGUAGCGGUACUGACGUGCAAAUCGUUCGUCAUACUUGAGUAUAGGGGCGAAAGACUAAUCGAACCAUCUAGUAGCUGGUUCCCUCCGAAGUUUCCCUCAGGAUAGCUGGAAUGGAAAACUUUUAUCAGGUAAAGCGAAUGACUAGAGGACUCAGGGGUGUGUUGCUUUUGACCUAUUCUCAAACUUUAAAUGGGUAAGAUCCAGCAGUUUCUUAAUUGAAUUUUGGGUCUCAAUAACAACUCCAAGUGGGCCGUUUUUGGUAAGCAGAACUGGCGAUGAGGGAUGAACCUAAUGUGAAGUUAAGGCGCUGAACUGCUCGCUCAUCAGAUACCAUAAAGGGUGUUGGUUCAUUUAAACAGCAGGACGGUGGUCAUGGAAGUCGAAAUCCGCUAAGGAGUGUGUAACAACUCACCUGCCGAAUGGACUAGCCCCGAAAAUGGAUGGCGCUCAAGCGUGUGGCCGAUACUUGACCACUACUGCAAAUAUUUGCAACAGUGAGUAGGAGGGCGCAGGACCUUGUAAUGAAGCCACUGGUGUGAGUCUGGGUGUAACACUUUCUAGUGCAGAUCUUGGUGGUAGUAGCAAAUAUUCAAAUGAGAACUUUGAAGACUGAAGAGGAGAAGGGUUCCAUGUGAACAGCACUUGGACAUGGGUUAGCCGAUCCUGAGAGCAAGGGAUGCUCCGUAUAUGUAAGCUUUGCUCUGGGUCUCGAUAGGGCUUGGGGUUAACAUUCCUCAGCCAGGACGUGGAUAUUGCAUGGUAACAUAAAUUAAUUUGGCUAUACAUGUGGAAGCCCUGGAAAGCGUUUUCUUUUCUUUUAAAUUGUCUUGUUCCCUGAAAUCAGUUUACCUGGUGAUAGGGCCAAUUGACGAGCAAAGCACCUUGUUUUCUGGGGUGUCUGGUGUGCUUUCACUUGUUACUGAAACACAAAAUUAAGUAAUUAUUAUCACCCCUGCUCGUACCAAUAACCGCAUCAGGUCUCCAAGGUUAGCAGCCUCUGGUGUAUAGAGUAAAGUAGGUAAGGGAAGUCGGCAAAACAGAUCCGUAACUUUGGGAAAAGGAUUGGCUCUGAGGGUUGGGUAUAGGGGUCCUUGCUCUGAUACUUGAACUGAGCAGAAGCUACUCGACGCCGCUUGGUGGACAGUGGAUUGUGCACGGCAAUAGUUGCUGGGCAAGGAAUGCUUUGGGCUAUCCGUGUGCAGUGAACAACCAGCU
rnacentral:rRNA from 1 species